UGAGUUUCUCUGCCUCUCAAUCCGCCAUUUUAUGCAACGCGGCAGUAAUUGUUUUCGUUUUACGGUGCCGUGUAAAAUAAUAUAAAACAACGCUUUUAUUUAAGUUUGUUUUAAUUAGUAGAUUGUCGCAAAAAUGGAAGCUGAAGGGCAGUCCGAUUUCAGCAUGGAAGAAUUUCCAGAAGGAUCCAAAAUUAACGCCAGCAAAAAUCAGGAGGACGAUGGGAAAAUGUUUAUUGGAGGGCUCAGCUGGGACACAAGCAAGAAAGAUCUUACAGAUUACCUGUCGAGGUUUGGAGAGGUGUUGGAUUGUACAAUUAAGACAGACCCCAUUACAGGAAGAUCUAGAGGUUUUGGCUUCGCCCUCUUUAAAGAUGCUGACAGUGUGGACAGGGUGCUGGAGCUGAAAGAACACAAACUGGAUGGAAAGCUUAUUGAUCCUAAAAGAGCCAAAGCAAUGAAGGGUAAAGAGCCACCCAAAAAAGUGUUUGUUGGAGGCUUGAGCCCGGAUACAUCAGAAGAUCAAAUCAGAGAAUAUUUUGGAAAAUUUGGAGAUAUUGAAAGCAUCGAACUUCCCAUGGACACCAAAACGAACGAGAGAAGGGGGUUCUGCUUCGUUACAUAUGCUGAAGAAGAACCAGUACAAAAACUGCUGGAGAGUAGAUACCAUCUUGUCGGAUCCGGCAAGUGCGAGAUAAAGGUGGCCCAGCCCAAAGAAGUAUACAGACAGCAGCAGCAACAGAGGGGCGGAAGAGGGGGCUCAAGAGGACGUGGUAGAGGAGGUCAAAAUCAAAACUACAACCAUGGUUAUAACAAUUACUAUGGUCAAGGUUAUGGAAGUUACGGCAAUGGAUACAAUCAAGGGUACAAUGGCUACAGUGGCUAUGAUUACUCUGGGUAUAACUAUGGGUAUGGACAGGAAUACGACGACUACAAUGUAGGUCAACAAAGCAGCUAUGGCAAAGCUUUGAGGGGAGGAGCCAAUCACCAGAACAACUAUCAGCCUUACUAAACGGAAACCGCACAGUUCUUGGGAUUUCGCGGGAACUUCAUUGCAGGCCGUGUGUCACCUUGACCACGUCAUUCUCUGGGAGUCGCACAUAGCGGGCAGAGAGCAAGGCAUGCACAAGAAAACGCUGUCCUGUGGUGGGAGAUCCGGAGGAGCAUUCUGCUAGUUAUCCUGGUAGCAACCGAGAGGUUCUAAUCCUUUUUAAAUCCAAAAUAUCCUUUUUUUUUUUUUUUUUUUUUUUUUUUUUUUCCCCAUUUUGAGAUGACAUUUAUUUUGUAAUCCUAAAACAUCAGUGUGAAGUUGGCACACCGGGUGUCCAUUUUGUAAAUAGCUACUGAACAGUUCUUAUUUUUAUUGGAGUGUUCACAUCUGUCCUUUGCCACAUGGCUGUUGUAUUGCUGCAAUUAAUCUGUUCAGCUUAUUUUCUUUUGUAUUGUUCUGUUCAGCAUCUUUUUAAUGUAAUUCCCUUUCUUUUUUUUUUUCCAAAACCGUGAAGGGAUUAAAGUAUGAAUACAGAAA